UACGUAGGGGGCAAGCGUUAUCCGGAUUUACUGGGUGUAAAGGGAGCGUAGACGGCAGGGCAAGUCUGGAGCGAAAGGCAGGGGCCCAACCCCUGGACUGCUCUGGAAACUGUCCGGCUGGAGUGCAGGAGAGGUAAGUGGAAUUCCUAGUGUAGCGGUGAAAUGCGUAGAUAUUAGGAGGAACACCAGUGGCGAAGGCGGCUUACUGGACUGUAACUGACGUUGAGGCUCGAAAGCGUGGGGAGCAAACAGG
rnacentral:rRNA from 1 species